UCGGGGGUCGUCUAAUGGGCAGGACAAGGGACUUUGGAUCCCUCGGUCCAGGUUCGAAUCCUGGCCCCCGAA
rnacentral:tRNA from 2 species